rnacentral:rRNA from 1 species
UACAGGGGAAUAGCCCAGGGAAACUUGGAUUAAUGCCCCGUAGUACCGUGGCCCGGCAUCGGGAUACGGUUAAAGCCUUCGGGCGGUAUAAGAUGGCCAUGCGUCCCAUUAGCUAGUUGGUAAGGUAACGGCUUACCAAGGCUACGAUGGGUAGGGGCCCUGAGAGGGGGAUCCCCCACACUGGUACUGAGACACGGACCAGACUCCUACGGGAGGCAGCAGUGAGGAAUAUUGGACAAUGGAGGAGACUCUGAUCCAGCCAUGCCGCGUGCAGGAAGAAUGCCCUAUGGGUAGUAAACUGCUUUUAUACGGGAAGAAAAAAGGGUACGUGUACUCUACUGACGGUACCGUAAGAAUAAGGACCGGCUAACUCCGUGCCAGCAGCCGCGGUAAUACGGAGGGUCCGAGCGUUAUCCGGAAUUAUUGGGUUUAAAGGGUCCGUAGGCGGGCCGAUAAGUCAGGGGUGAAAGUUUGCAGCUCAACUGUAAAAUUGCCUUUGAUACUGUUGGUCUUGAGUUAUAGUGAAGUUGCCGGAAUAUGUAGUGUAGCGGUGAAAUGCAUAGAUAUUACAUAGAACACCGAUUGCGAAGGCAGGUGACUAACUAUAUACUGACGCUGAUGGACGAAAGCGUGGGGAGCGAACAGGAUUAGAUACCCUGGUAGUCCACGCCGUAAACGAUGGAUACUAGCUGUCCGAGGCCUUGAGUCUUGGGCGGCCAAGCGAAAGUGAUAAGUAUCCCACCC